CGUACAUCCAGAGAAUUUAGCAGAGAUGCUUUAGUGCCUUCGGAACUCUGAGACAGGUGCUGCAUGGCUGUCGUCAGCUCGUGUUGUGAAAUGUUGGGUUAAGUCCCGCAACGAGCGCAACCCAUAUCCUUUGUUGCCAGCACGUAAUGGUGGGAACUCAAAGGAGACUGCCGGUGAUAAACCGGAGGAAGGUGGGGAUGACGUCAAGUCAUCAUGGCCCUUACGAGUAGGGCUACACACGUGCUACAAUGGCGCGUACAAAGAGAAGCGACCUCGCGAGAGCAAGCGGACCUCAUAAAGUGCGUCGUAGUCCGGAUUGGAGUCUGCAACUCGACUCCAUGAAGUCGGAAUCGCUAGUAAUCGUAAAUCAGAAUGUUACGGUGAAUACGUUCCCGGGCCUUGUACACACCGCCCGUCACACCAUGGGAGUGGGUUGCAAAAGAAGUAGAUAGCUUAACCUUCGGGAGGGCGUUUACCACUUUGUGAUUCAUGACUGGGGUGAAGUCGUAACAAGGUAAGCGUAGUGCU
rnacentral:rRNA from 1 species